rnacentral:tRNA from 1 species
AGCGCGAUAGAGCAGUUGGCAGCUCGUCGGGUUAAUUCCCCAAAGAUCGUGGGUUCAAAUCCCACUCCUGCAA